rnacentral:rRNA from 1 species
UACGUAGGGGGCAAGCGUUGUCCGGAAUCAUUGGGCGUAAAGAGCGUGUAGGCGGCUUGGUAAGUCCGCUGUGAAAGUCCAGGGCUCAACCCUGGAAAGCCGGUGGAAACUGUCAAGCUUGAGUCCGGAAGAGGCGAGUGGAAUUCCCGGUGUAGCGGUGAAAUGCGUAGAGAUCGGGAAGAACACCAGUGGCGAAAGCGCUCUGCUGGACUGCAACUGACACUGAGGGACGAAAGCUAGGGGAGCGAAAGGG